rnacentral:piRNA from 1 species
UCUCUCACAGUCCAGAGGGAACUAAGGU